GAUGAACGCUGGCGGCGUGCCUAAUACAUGCAAGUCGAGCGAACAGACGAGGAGCUUGCUCCUCUGACGUUAGCGGCGGACGGGUGAGUAACACGUGGAUAACCUACCUAUAAGACUGGGAUAACUUCGGGAAACCGGAGCUAAUACCGGAUAAUAUAUUGAACCGCAUGGUUCAAUAGUGAAAGACGGUUUUGCUGUCACUUAUAGAUGGAUCCGCGCCGCAUUAGCUAGUUGGGAAGGUAACGGCUUACCAAGGCGACGAUGCGUAGCCGACCUGAGAGGGUGAUCGGCCACACUGGAACUGAGACACGGUCCAGACUCCUACGGGAGGCAGCAGUAGGGAAUCUUCCGCAAUGGGCGAAAGCUUGACGGAGCAACGCCGCGUGAGUGAUGAAGGUCUUCGGAUCGUAAAACUCUGUUAUUAGGGAAGAACAAAUGUGUAAGUAACUAUGCACGUCUUGACGGUACCUAAUCAGAAAGCCACGGCUAACUACGUG
rnacentral:rRNA from 1 species